rnacentral:rRNA from 1 species
AGCAGUCGCCGCGGGAAUACGUAGGUGGCAAGCGUUGUCCGGAAUUAUUGGGCGUAAAGCGCGCGCAGGCGGAUAGGUCAGUCUGUCUUAAAAGUUCGGGGCUUAACCCCGUGAUGAGAUGGAAACUGCCAAUCUAGAGUAUCGGAGAGGAAAGUGGAACUCCUAGUGUAGCGGUGAAAUGCGUAGAUAUUAGGAAGAACACCAGUGGCGAAGGCGACUUUCUGGACGAAAACUGACGCUGAGGCGCGAAAGCCAGGGGAGCGAACAGGAUUAGAUACCCCAGUAGUCCCUGUCUCUUAUACA